GGGGGUGAACGGUUUCGACGUCGGUCGUCGUCCCAGGAGAAGCGGGCCGAGGACACACGGUUAUCUCGUAAACGAUCCGUGUAAACCAAUAGGUGCCGAUAACACUCGCACCGACUUCGCUCUCGCUGCCUAAGCAGAGUUGAAGUCCGUCAGCCCGGGAUUGCUCCCGGCCCGGUAGCUGGCGUCAGCUAGGGAGCCACUGCUCUCGGUCCAUGUCACGGGGCCCGAGGGGACACUUACGUGACUGAGCCUGGCAGCGACUUGCUUGCGUGAUCGCUGGGGCUGAGAAAAACCACAGCAGGCUGCGCCCGGAGAAGUCCUGGCUCCUCACCGACGGACGCGGGUUCGAUUCCCGCCACCUCCACCA
rnacentral:tmRNA from 1 species